AUUGAACGCUGGCGGCAGGCUUUACACAUGCAAGUCGAACGAGUGGCGGACGGGUGAGUAAUGCUUGGGAAUCUAGCCUAUGGAGGGGGAUAACUACGGGAAACUGUAGCUAAUACCGCGUACCAUAGGAUGAGCCCAAGUGGGAUUAGGUAGUUGGUGAGGUAAAGGCUCACCAAGCCGACGAUCUCUAGCUGGUCUGAGAGGAUGACCAGCCACACUGGGACUGAGACACGGCCCAGACGCCUACGGGAGGCAGCAGUGGGGAAUAUUGCGCAAUGGGGGCAACCUGACGCAGCCAUGCCGCGUGAAUGAAGAAGGCCUUCGGGUUGUAAAGUUCUUUCGGUAGCGAGGCGUUAACUACAGAAGAAGCACCGGCUAACUCCGUGCCAGCAGCCGCGGUAAUUC
rnacentral:rRNA from 1 species